rnacentral:lncRNA from 1 species
GGAGGAAAAAUAAUAAACUAGGAACCAAGCACAUGCAAUCUUUAUAAUUUCUUAGAAUUUUCUUCCCUUUUGCAUGUCCCUUUCUCCCUCUCUGAUUUAAAGCAGAUCAAGACAGACCUCCUCAACCCUGCCACUUUUCUCCCAGAGGAUGAGGAGCCAAUCAAGCAUGACUGCCAACAAAUUAUAGUCCAGAUUUAUACCACCUGAGACAAAGAAAUCAAAGAGAAAGAGAGAUAGAAGUAGUAAAGAAAAAAGUGUCUGUACCUUCUUAGGGGAAGAGUGUUGUUUUUACACUAACCAGUCAGGGAUAGUACAAGUUGCCACUCAGCAUUGACAGAAAAAGGCUUCUGAAAUCAGAUAACACUUUUCUGAUGGUCUUACAUAUGGAAACCCAAAUGAGCUCAACUAACAACUUCUACCAAGGACCCCUGGACUGACCCGCUGGCCCUUUCACUGGCCUAAAGAGUUCACCUCUGGAGGACACUACAACUGCAGGGUCCCUUCUUUGCCCCUAUCCAGCAGGAAGUAGCUACAGUGGUCAUCACUGAAUUCCCAACAGCAGUUGGGGUGU